rnacentral:rRNA from 1 species
AUGUGGAUCGUUUUCUUUGGAUCCCCAACUGAAGAGUUUGAAGUUGUUUCUGCAGACAACCUAGAUGUCAAUGAAUGUGCGCAGAGUCCAGCCCCCUGCCAUGGCUCUGCAACUUGCCACAACACAGUUGGAGGGUUCCAUUGUUCAUGCCCUUUUGUCACCAGUUUUGCUAAGGAAACAAACUCCUGCGCCAAUCAGUUUACAAGUCAGGAGUUGAGCAGGGCACAAUCUGUGGCAGGACCGCACUCUCCUACUCAUUUGUCUCAAAGCAAAAGAAGCUUGCUGCCUUUGCCUGGAGAGAGUAGAAGUUUCUUUUAUCUAAUCCAAGAUGAUCUAUUCAUGAUUAAAACAGCGAGGAAAUCAGAAGUUGAGUGCAAGGGCUGCAUGUCCUUAUAA